AUACGUAGGGUGCAAGCGUUAAUCGGAAUUACUGGGCGUAAAGCGUGCGCAGGCGGUUAUAUAAGACAGAUGUGAAAUCCCCGGGCUCAACCUGGGAACUGCAUUAGUGACUGUAUAGCUGGAGUGCGGCAGAGGGGGAUGGAAUUCCGCGUGUAGCAGUGAAAUGCGUAGAUAUGCGGAGGAACACCGAUGGCGAAGGCAAUCCCCUGGGCCUGCACUGACGCUCAUGCACGAAAGCGUGGGGAGC
rnacentral:rRNA from 1 species